rnacentral:rRNA from 1 species
AUGCAAGAGGUACCACGGAGAGCUAUACGGAGUGCAACUUGGGUACCGCCAAAUCAGGGUUGUGUUAAGAUCAAUGUCGACGGUGCAGUGGCCGUGAGGAGGAGACAUGGUGCAGUGGGUGCGGUCUGCAGAGACCAACAGGGCACUUUUCUGGAGGCCUCGGCGAUCGUUUUCAAGCACAUCACAGAUCCUCAAACGCUCAAGGCUCUAGCUAUAAGAGAAGCACUCUCCUUAGUGGAUGAUCUAUAUGCACGACAUAUACAAGUUGCCUCUGACUGCAAGGUGGUUGUUGAUGAUCUGCAUCAUGGCAAGCUAGCCACUUAUGGAGCAGUUCUUCGUGAGAUAUCGGACCGUUCUUCUAGUUUUUUGUCAUAUAAUAUAGGUCAUGAAUUUAGGAGCUCAAACUAUGAAGCUCACAAUCUAGCGAAACAUUCUCUCUCGCUCGCGGUUGGCCGCCAUGUUUGUAGGCCAGCCGGGAGAUCUUCAUUUUGUCCCUGUAAACACUGUGUUGGUUGGUGUGGGUUGUAA